AACGCAUAUUGCGCUCAAGGCCUCGGCCAAGAGCAUGUCUGCCUCAGCGUCGGUAUCACCCUCGUUCUUCUUCCUGUUUGGAAGGCUAGAACGGAGUUGACCUUCCCGCUACUUUAGCGGGUCGGUUGAAGCGUAGAGGCUCCAGCAAAGCUCCUUCAUGGCGCUGGCUAGGUAGGAAGCUCAGUCUUCAUGCCGCCAGACUGCCCAGGAUUUUGUUGAGCCACUCUGAAUACCAACUUCGACCUGAGAUCAGGCAAGAGCACCCGCUGAACUUAA
rnacentral:misc_RNA from 1 species